rnacentral:rRNA from 1 species
ACGAGGGUGACAGGUGGUGCAUGGUUGUCGUCAGCUCGUGUCGUGAGAUGUUGGGUUAAGUCCCGCAACGAGCGCAACCCUCGACCUUAGUUGCCAGCAUUCAGUUGGGCACUCUAAGGUGACUGCCGGCUAAAAGUCGGAGGAAGGUGGGGAUGACGUCAAAUCAUCAUGCCCCUUAUGACCUGGGCUACACACGUGCUACAAUGGUUGGUACAACGAGUUGCGAGUCGGUGACGGCGAGCUAAUCUCUUAAAGCCAAUCUCAGUUCGGAUUGUAGGCUGCAACUCGCCUACAUGAAGUCGGAAUCGCUAGUAAUCGCGGAUCAGCACGCCGCGGUGAAUACGUUCCCGGGCCUU